rnacentral:lncRNA from 1 species
GCAAGCUUUUUGGACCUAAUAUUUACUAAUAUUGAUGAUGCAUUUGUUGUCAAAGCAGUCGGUUUUCAUUCUGAUCAUACUCCAGUAAUUAUGUUUUCUCCAAAUGUGUUGAAUAACUAUUUUCCUUCUAUGAGAAAUGAAUUGCGUUUAUGGAGUAAGUGUAAUUGGGAAAUCCUUAUUGGCUAUAUUUAUCAGUUUCCUUGGCAGAAUAUUUAUUCUUCAAAUGUUCAUAUUAGUGAAAUUUAUGAUAUGUUAUAUAGUUGUUUUGAUAAUGCGAUUCAAUUAUGUGUUCCCUGUGCAAAAAGUUUUCACCGAAGGCCGAGAUGGAUCUCUUCUUCAAGCCGUUCUCUUUUACGAAGAAUUCGAUUAUUACGCAAAAAAUGGAAUAAAUAUGGAUAUUAUUCUGAUAAAUAUGAAUAUCUUAAUUUAAAUCAGCAAGUAUUUAAAAGUUUAAAGAGAGAUAAAACUAUUUUUAUUACUCGAAAGAUUAAAAAUUUGGGUUAUAAUCCUCG